CCCCGCCCGGGGUGACAGGCCGAGCCGCCCCUCUCCGGCUCUAGUAGCUUCCGUGCCGCUGACGCAUGCUGGCGCGCACAGCGGGGCCGGCGCGUCCUACGCUGCGGCCGCGAGCCGGGCCGCCGCUGCCAGACGGUUCCCGGCGCAGGGCAGGGGCGGGGCGCCGCAGGAGGCCGGGGACCCCCGGUAGAGGAGCCCGGAGGAGGCCGGCCUGACGCCCUCCGAGUUGCCAUGGCAUCCUACUACGAGAUUCUAGACGUGCCGCGGAGUGCGUCCGCUGACGACAUCAAGAAGGCGUACCGGCGGAAGGCUCUACAGUGGCACCCAGACAAGAACCCGGAUAAUAAGGAGUUUGCUGAGAAGAAGUUUAAGGAGGUGGCUGAAGCCUACGAAGUGCUCUCUGACAAGCACAAGCGGGAGAUCUACGACCGCUAUGGCCGGGAAGGGCUGGCGGGGGCAGGAACCGGCCCAGCGCGGGCAGAGGCUGGUGCCGGAGGACCUGGCUUCGGCUUCACCUUCCGCAGCCCCGAGGAGGUCUUCCGGGAGUUCUUCGGGAGCGGAGACCCUUUUGCCGAGCUCUUUGAUGACCUGGGCCCCUUUGCGGAGCUUCAGAACCGGAGUUCCCGACACUCCGGCCCCUUCUUUACCUUCUCUUCCUCCUUCCCUGGGCACUCUGAUUUCUCCUCCUCAUCUUUCUCCUUCAGUCCCGGAGCGGGCGCUUUCCGCUCGGUUUCCACGUCUACCACCUUUGUGCAAGGACGCCGCAUCACGACCCGCAGAAUCAUGGAGAACGGGCAGGAGCGAGUGGAAGUGGAGGAGGACGGGCAGCUGAAGUCGGUCACGAUCAACGGUGUCCCCGAUGACCUGGCACUGGGCUUGGAGCUGAGCCGCCGGGAGCAGCAACAGUCCGUCCCCUCCAGGGCCGGGGGCCUGCACGUGCGGCAGACCCCUGCCUCCCACCCCUCCGACAGCGACCUCUCUGAAGAUGAUGAGGACUUGCAGCUUGCCAUGGCCUAUAGCCUGUCUGAGAUGGAGGCAGCUGGGAAGAAACCGGCAGGUGGGCGGGGGGAGCAGCAGCGGCAGGGGCGGCUCAAGGCCCAGCACCAAGAUGCAGGCAGGGCGGGCACCCAGGGGGGCGCGAGGGGUGACGCAGCUGAACGCAGUCCAUCCCCGGAGGACAAAGCCUCUCGCUGCCUCAUCCUCUGAGCCCCGGGCCCUACGCCGCCUGAUUGGGGUCUCGGCCGGGGGUCCGGCUCACUGUUGGGAGAGCCGAGAGGAGCCUGUCUCUGACUCCAGGCUCCCACUACGAGUUUCCCUCCCAAGGUCCUCCUCUCCUGCACUGCAGUGUGGAUUUGGGAUUUGCUGUGCUCAGCCUGGGGCUGAUAGGUCCCUGGGUGACACCCAGGGAGGGGACUUCAGGACAGCGGAAGGGCCUGGGGAACUCAGAGGCCCCGAUCGUCAGAUGGGGAGCUUCUGAGAUUCCUAAUGGCCUGGGGUGGGCCUUCUGCGCCCAGGUCCUCUGCCACCCGUGUCGCUGGUGGUGUUGCCAAAGAAGGAGGGCUCGGCCCUCAGCCCGGCAGCAGUGCCGGCUGAGUGGCCGCCCGCUGUGCUUGUGCAGCCGCAGCCGCAGCCGCAGCCGCUCCUCGGCCCACCGCGCAGUGUCGAGCUCUGACCGUCUCUGUUGCUUCCUUUCUGGUGCUGCUUCUCCUCCCUCCCACUCUGUUCUCCGCAACGCCCUGCGGGCCGCAUCGCUUGCUUUCACUGCCGUCUGGCUAGGACUCCCUUCUCCUUCCUUCCCGGAGAAGGCCUCAGUGUGCCGAGGAAGAUGCUGGGGCCGGUGGGGCCGUGAGAUGUGUUCUGAGCUGGAUGUCCGGGAGCCAGAGUCGCUGCACAGUUCCAACAGGACAGCGCCCUCCCCCAUGUGCUGGGAGGGGACACUCCAUUCCUCUCCCUCGCCCAUGCUGAGUGUAGAGCUGGGGCCUGGGUAGCGGGUGGGCACCGGGAGGAGGCGUCAGUAGUCUUUUAGCCUGUGAACUCUGUUUCCUGGGUGUUAGCUGCUGUCUCUUGGGGACUACAAGUCCCAGAAUGCAACGCGCCCGGCCUCAUUUCUGAUAAAUCACGCUUGGGGGAAGCGGUGUGUGUUUGUGUGUGGAUAUGGAGCUGUGCAUCUUGGGACGUGUAGUUCCAGCCCCGGCCAGCCCGCCGCUGGCUGUGAAAGGGGGAGAUCUUGUCUUUUGAUUUGCCCCUGGCAGGGGUGGCAAGAACGUGGAUGAACGGGGAAUGACGCCCGCAUCAGCUCCCCCGACACCUCUUGCUCAGCUCCGGGGUUGGAGUGGGUAAAGUUGGGCCCUCCAGCCUCUGGGAGAGGUUCUUGUCCUGUGGGUGGCCUGGGGCCCGAGGAACAAGCCAGGGCAAGCAGCGGGACUGGGCUUGCAGGCCUGGGCCCGGGAGCUGAUGCGCGCGGGCUGGCAGAGCCGGGAAGGGAAGGCCGUCCCCAUGGGUGUGUGUGGCCGGGGGGCCUGUGAUGGGAGCUCCGGGCAUGCUGCUGCUUGUAUGGCUUUCUUUGGCCUCUGACCCUGCUGCCCAUUCUUUUCUCGCCAACAUCACAGCAAACCCGCCUCUCCUCCUCCCUGCCUGGAGUGCCCAGUGGCUGGGGAGGGUUGGGGUGGGGAACCGGGGUGCCGCCAACCCUUGUGACCUUGAGCCUCAGAGACCUAUCAAAGCCAGCUGGGCUGAGCUCAGACACAGAGGGAGACACUGGAAAUCAAUAAAGUUGAGUUUUGACAGCU